rnacentral:rRNA from 1 species
UACAGAGGUCUCAAGCGUUGUUCGGAUUCAUUGGGCGUAAAGGGUGCGUAGGCGGCGCGGUAAGUCGGGUGUGAAAUCUUGGAGCUUAACUCCGAAACUGCAUUCGAUACUGCCGUGCUUGAGGACUGGAGAGGAGACUGGAAUUUACGGUGUAGCGGUGAAAAUGCGUAGAUAUCGUAAGGAAGACCAGUGGCGAAGGCGGGUCUCUGGA